rnacentral:rRNA from 1 species
GCAUAUCAAUAAGCGGAGGAAAAGAAACUAACUAGGAUUGGUCUAGUAACGGCGAGUAAAUUGCCAUGAGCUCAGUAUGUAAAUCGUCACUAGUGAUGAAUUGUGGUGUGUAGGUCAUUUUGUUCAGUUGAUAGACUAAGUCCCCUGGAACGGGGCAGCUAAGAGGGUGAGACUCCCAUGUGUCUGUUAGCAUGUGAACUGACCAACGAGUCGAGUUGUUUGGGAAU